UACGUAGGGGGCAAGCGUUGUUCGGAAUUACUGGGCGUAAAGGGCGCGUAGGCGGCACGGCAAGUCAGGAGUGAAAGCCCGGGGCCCAACCCCGGAAUGUCUUUUGAAACUGCCGAGCUAGAGUGCGGAAGAGGCAACUGGAAUUGCCAGUGUAGCGGUGAAAUGCGUAGAUAUUGGGAAGAACACCUGAGGCGAAGGCGGGUUGCUGGGCCGACACUGACGCUGAGGCGCGAAAGCCAGGGGAGCGAACGGG
rnacentral:rRNA from 1 species